rnacentral:rRNA from 1 species
GACGAACGCUGGCGGCGUGCCUAAAACAUGCAAGUCGAACGGUGUAGCAAUACACAGUGGCGAACGGCGGAGUAAUACAUGAACAACGUGCCCGGAAGACUGGGAUAGUCAGGGGAAACCCUGGGUAAUACCAGAUGUGGCCGUCUCUUGGCAUCUAGAGACGAUUAAAGGGUUUUUCGCUUCCGGAGCGGUUCAUGGCCUAUCAGGUAGUUGGUGAGGUAAUGGCUCACCAAGCCGACGACGGUAGCGGUCUGAGAGGAUGAUCCGCUCGAGUGGGACUGAGACACGGCCCACACACCUACGGGUGGCAGCAGUUGGGAAUCUUGCACAAUGGGGGAAACCCUGAUGCAGCGACGCGCGUGGAGGAUGAAGGAUCUAGGUCUGUAAACUCCUUUUCAAGGGAAAGACUUAGGACGGUACCCUGAGAAUAAGGACCGGCUAACU